AUUGAACGCUGGCGGCAUGCUUUACACAUGCAAGUCGAACGGCAGCACGGGUGCUUGCACCUGGUGGCGAGUGGCGGACGGGUGAGUAAUACAUCGGAACGUGUCCAGAAGAGGGGGAUAACGCAUCGAAAGAUGUGCUAAUACCGCAUAUGCUCUGAGGAGGAAAGUAGGGGAUCGAAAGACCUUACGCUUUUGGAGCGGCCGAUGUCUGAUUAGCUAGUUGGUGGGGUAAGGGCCUACCAAGGCGACGAUCAGUAGUUGGUCUGAGAGGACGACCAGCCACACUGGGACUGAGACACGGCCCAGACUCCUACGGGAGGCAGCAGUGGGGAAUUUUGGACAAUGGGCGCAAGCCUGAUCCAGCAAUGCCGCGUGAGUGAAGAAGGCCU
rnacentral:rRNA from 1 species